UACGGGGGGUGCAAGCGUUGUUCGGAAUCAUUGGGCGUAAAGCGCGCGCAGGCGGCUUGGUAAGUCAGAUGUGAAAGCCCUGGGCUUAACCCAGGAAGUGCAUUUGAUACUGCCUGGCUAGAGUACGGGAGAGGAGAGUGGAAUUCCUGGUGUAGAGGUGAAAUUCGUAGAUAUCAGGAGGAACACCGGUGGCGAAGGCGACUUUCUGGCCCGAUACUGACGCUCAGGCGCGAAAGCGUGGGGAGCAAACAGG
rnacentral:rRNA from 1 species